rnacentral:snoRNA from 1 species
CCCUGUAUUCAAAAAUAACUGUGGGCUGCCCAUGCACUGUCACUGACUCUGAGGAUGUUGAAAGCUUCCCCUAUGUUUGGAAGGUCUGCUCCUGUCCUUGCCAAACUCUGGUGCUUUGACCGG